AAUGAACGCUGGCGGCAUGCCUAACACAUGCAAGUCGAACGAAGCCUUCGGGCUUAGUGGCGCACGGGUGCGUAACGCGUGGGAAUCUGCCCUUUGGUUCGGAAUAACAGUUGGAAACGACUGCUAAUACCGGAUGAUGACGAAAGUCCAAAGAUUUAUCGCCAGAGGAUGAGCCCGCGUAGGAUUAGCUAGUUGGGGUGGUAAAGGCGCACCAAGGCGACGAUCCUUAGCUGGUCUGAGAGGAUGAUCAGCCACACUGGGACUGAGACACGGCCCAGACUCCUACGGGAGGCAGCAGUGGGGAAUAUUGGACAAUGGGCGAAAGCCUGAUCCAGCAAUGCCGCGUGAGUGAUGAAGGCCCUAGGGUUGUAAAGCUCUUUUACCCGGGAUGAUAAUGACAGUACCGGGAGAAUAAGCCCCGGCUAACUCCGUGCCAGCCGCCGCCGUAA
rnacentral:rRNA from 1 species